CGUGUAAUUUCUUCCUAUCCUUCUGCAAUAUAACUGUAACACCCCUCUCCCACAAUUGUGGGCCUUUUUGUUUUAACAUUUGGAUUAAGCCUAUGUGAUGGGUAAGCCACAAAAACGUCAAAGCCUAGUUAUUGUUUGCACAUGCAUAUGUAAAUAUAUAAGCAUCUCCCUCUCCAUUAAGAUGAGUAAACCCUAGCCGUUUUUGCCGAGAGAAAAAAAUAAAGAGAAAGAAUUGACGUGAGCCUUUGCUAUCGCCGUCAUCGUCUUGUUCGUGUCUCUUCCACCACUGAUCGUGUUGUGUUUUCUCAACAACCACGUCAACAACCACGUUGCCUUGAUCUGGAGAAGAAAACAAAGGAGAAGAAUAAGAAACAGGAUCAGAUCGUGAAAGAGGAGAAGAAAGCAAAGAAGAGACAGAGAUGGAGGGCGAGACGUGGCGGAGAAUAAGGGAUCAUCGAUUCAUCGUCACCGCAAAGGAGAAGCAUCGAAAGGAAGAGAUAUGGUUCAAUGACAGUAAGGAGAAGCUGCUCUGAAUAAGAUCAGAGUAUACCUCAGCUGGGCAAAGCAAAAGAGAAGCAAAGGAGGAAGAAGAUGAAAGAAAAGGGACAGAUCUGAGUUAGGGUUUUGUGCGACUGAUUCCCGUCAAACUAGUGGGAAUCAGAUGACAAAUAAGAUGUCCCUGGAAAGCUCACGUUUUCAAGAAUCCACAGUCGCUGACGGAGUUUAAAUCGAGUCUAUAUUCGAGAAGUUAUGCUUGUUUCUUCCAGGACAAGCAACUGUAGAAAACAGUUUCGUAUUGGUUAUUGCGGGCAUCUUUUGGAGGUUGUAACGAUGUCCGAUCGAGCUGAAACUUUGUGGAGUUGUUCAUGGUAUUGUGGGCUAGAUAAUCAACGGUGGGAUUUCGUUUUUAACGGAGCUUUUAUGACUCAUGGAGUAAGAUCUUAGUUGAUGGAGAACCAAAGUAGAGCUAAAGAACACUUGGUUACCGUUAAGAUAUUAAGUCCUUUCAAAGGAGAAAGGAGAAGAGAUGUUUUUCAUCUUCAACUAGGCUAAGGUGAGGGUGGUAUUUGCGAAGCAUAGUAUCUUUUUUUUUUGUUAUGCUUCUUGACGCAUGAUAUGUAGGCUUAGAUCUGAUUGUAUAGGAUAUGAUUAUGUGAUGAUAUGUGAUUUGAUGAUUGUUGAGUUUGAUAUGUGUUAGUAUUAUGUUUGAUAAGGUGAUGUUAUGUAUGAGAAUGUUAAGUAUGAUUAUGAGUAUGUAUGAGUGAUGGAUAGUGAUAGACCGACGGGUUAACAGCUGGUCAAGAACGGCUGACGAGCCCGGAAUGGGAGUGUCUGAGCCACGAGGGCCAGCCUCCACUCAGGAGGUUCUAGUCGUCACGAGGAUGACUAGACCUAACAAUGUAUAUGUAUGGUUAUGUGGUUAAGAUGAAUGUUGUUAUGUUUAGCAAGUAAAGAAUGUUAUGUGAUUGCUAGUGUCUAAGUUUAUAUGUUAUGAUUAUGGUUGUAUAGCU